AAAGGUUUUCUGCUAUUACCUUCAUGGAUAAUUUUUUUUUUCUAAUUAGGAUGGAUAGUGAUGCAGUCAAGGAAUUCAAGAAAAUUAGUAGUAAAAUACUCAAGAAAUUUUUAGUUCAUUGAGGAAAUUUUGAGUCCAUCAUUUCACAAACCAUUCUCCAUCUAAAAUUCUUGAUUGUUUUAGCCUUCAUAAAAUCUCAAAUAUCAAUAAUAAUUCUAAGGCUUGCAGGCUGUCCUGCAUCAGAAGGAAAACGAUAAUCUUUCCAAGGUCAGGAACUAUAUGACACUUGUUUCUUAGCGUUCCAAA
rnacentral:misc_RNA from 1 species